UACGUAGGGUGCGAGCGUUAAUCGGAAUUACUGGGCGUAAAGCGUGCGCAGGCGGUUCGUUAAGACAGAUGUGAAAUCCCCGGGCUUAACCUGGGAACUGCAUUUGUGACUGGCGAGCUAGAGUAUGGCAGAGGGGGGUAGAAUUCCACGUGUAGCAGUGAAAUGCGUAGAGAUGUGGAGGAAUACCGAUGGCGAAGGCAGCCCCCUGGGCCAAUACUGACGC
rnacentral:rRNA from 1 species